rnacentral:rRNA from 1 species
AAAGCGUAACAAGGUCUCCGUAGGUGAACCUGCGGAGGGAUCAUUACAUAAUAACCAGGCGGGCUGGACACCCCCCGCUGGGCACUGCUUCACGGCGUGCGCGGCGGGGCCGGCCCUGCUGAAUUAUUCACCCGUGUCUUUUGCGUACUUCUUGUUUCCUGGGUGGGCUCGCCCGCCCUCAGGACCAACCACAAACCUUUUGCAAUAGCAAUCAGCGUCAGUAACAACGUAAUUAAUUACAACUUUCAACAACGGAUCUCUUGGUUCUGGCAUCGAUGAAGAACGCAGCGAAAUGCGAUACGUAGUGUGAAUUGCAGAAUUCAGUGAAUCAUCGAAUCUUUGAACGCACAUUGCGCCCUUUGGUAUUCCAAAGGGCAUGCCUGUUCGAGCGUCAUUUGUACCCUCAAGCUUUGCUUGGUGUUGGGCGUCUUUUGUCUCCAGUUCGCUGGAGACUCGCCUUAAAGUCAUUGGCAGCCGGCCUACUGGUUUCGGAGCGCAGCACAAGUCGCGCUCUUUGCCAGCCAAGGUCAGCGUCCAGCAAGCCUUUUUUUCAACCUUUGACCUCGGAUCAGGUAGGGAUACCCGCUGAACUUAAGCAUAUCAAUAAGCGGAGGCACAAGAAACCAACCGGGAUUGCCCUAGUAACGG